rnacentral:misc_RNA from 1 species
GAUGAAGAACGUAGCGAAAUGCGAUAAGUAAUGCGAAUUGCAGAAUUCAGUGAGUCAUCGAAUCUUUGAACGCACAUUGCGCCCUGUGGUAUUCCGCAGGGCAUGCCUGUUCGAGCGUCAUUUCAACCCUCAAGCCCCGCUUGGUGUUGGGCCCCGCCCGCCGUGGCCGGCCCUAAAGACAGUGGCGGCGCCGCCUGGCCCUCAGCGUAGUACAGCUCUCGCUCCAGGGUCCGGCGGCCGCCUGCCAGAACCCCCCCAACUCUGUGGUUGACCUCGGAUCAGGUAGGGAUACCCGCUGAACUCAAGCAUAUCAAUAAGCGGAGGA